GACGAACGUUGGCGGCGUGCUUAAUACAUGCAAGUCAACGGCAGCGGGGGCUUCGGCCUGCCGGCGAGUGGCGAACGGGUGAGUAAUGCAUCGGAACGUGCCCAUGUCGUGGGGGAUAACGUAGCGAAAGCUACGCUAAUACCGCAUACGUCCUGAGGGAGAAAGCGGGGGAUCUUCGGACCUCGCGCGAUUGGAGCGGCCGGUGUCGGAUUAGCUAGUUGGUGGGGUAAAGGCCCACCAAGGCGACGAUCCGUAGCGGGUCUGAGAGGAUGAUCCGCCACACUGGGACUGAGACACGGCCCAGACUCCUACGGGAGGCAGCAGUGGGGAAUUUUGGACAAUGGGUGCAAGUCUGAUCCAGCCAUGCCGCGUGAGUGAAGAAGGCCUUCGGGUUGUAAAGCUCUUUCGGCCGGGAAGAAAUCGUGUUCUCUAACAUAGGACAUGGAUGACGGUACCGGACUAAGAAGCACCGGCUAACUACGUGCCAGCAGCCGCCGUAAUAC
rnacentral:rRNA from 1 species